GCGGGUGUAGCUCAGCUGGCAGAGCAUUUGCCUUCCAAGCCAUAUAUGUGGGUUCGAUUCCCAUCGCUCGCU
rnacentral:tRNA from 1 species